rnacentral:misc_RNA from 1 species
AAGCUUUUGUUGGGCAUGUAUUCAUAGAUCAACAUUUUUUCUUCUAGCUCAAUGCAGCAACCUAGAAGCUUCACAAGGUUUCGGUGCUGAAGUUUGGCAAUGAAGAUGACUUCAUUCUUGAAUUCAUCAAGUCCCUGUGUGGAAUCCUUUGAUAACCUCUUUACAGCUAUCUCUUGCCCAUCUUUCAGUGUACCCUUGUAAACAGGUCCAAAACCACCUUCUCCAAGCUUAUUGAAUUCUGAAAAGUUGUCCGUGGCAUUUGCUACA